rnacentral:rRNA from 1 species
AUUCCAGCUCCAAUAGCGUAUAUUAAAGUUGUUGCAGUUAAAAAGCUCGUAGUUGGAUCUCGGGUUUAGGCCUGCGGUGCAGUUUAGGCUGCUUACUGCUCGUCCUGACCUACCUGCCGGUUUUCCCUCGGUGCUCUUAAGUGAGUGUCUUGGGUGGCCGGAACGUUUACUUUGAAAAAAUUAGAGUGCUCAAAGCAGGCUUCUGCCAGAAUAUUAGUGCAUGGAGUAAUCGAAUAGGACCUCGGUCCUAUUUUGUUGGUUUUCGGAACUCGAGGUAAUGAUUAAGAGGGACAGACGGGGGCAUUCGUAUUACGGCGUUAGAGGUGAAAUUCUUGGAUCGCCGUAAGACGAACUACUGCGAAAGCAUUUGCCAAGAAUGUUUUCAUUG